GACGAACGCUGACGGCGUGCUUAACACAUGCAAGUCGAACGAUGAACCAGGAGCUUGCUCCGGUGGAUUAGUGGCGAACGGGCGAGUAACACGCGAGUAACCUCCCCUUGACUCUGGGAUAACUGCGGGAAACUGUAGCUAAUACCGGAUACGACCCUCGGCGGCAUCGCAAGGGGGUGGUACGAAUUUCGGUCAAGGAUGGACUCGCGGCCUAUCAGCUAGUUGGUGAGGUAACGGCUCACCAAGGCGACGACGGGUAGCCGGCCUGAGAGGGUGACCGGCCACACUGGGACUGAGACACGGCCCAGACUCCUACGGGAGGCAGCAGUGGGGAAUAUUGCACAAUGGGCGCAAGCCUGAUGCAGCACCGCCGCGUGAGGGAUGCCGGCCUUCGGGUUGUAAACCUCUUUUAGUAGGGAAGAAGCGAAAGUGACGGUACCUGCAGAAAAAGCACCGGCUAACUACGUGCCAUCAGCCGCCGUAA
rnacentral:rRNA from 1 species